rnacentral:sRNA from 1 species
UAGUUAAAGAGGUUUACGGAUAUUUUGC